AGGAUGGCAGUACCCGCGUGGAAGGCCGAGGUGGCAGUGAGUGGUGGUGUUUGGCUUUGUGCGUUCCAUGAGUCUGUGAAAUUGAGCUGCAGCGCGUCAUUCAUCAACACAGAGGCGAUGGCGUUGAUAAAGGAACCAUCGUGUGCCUCUCCACCUGCCCGCCCUCUACCUCACGUCGCCUAGCAGAAGCAGAUGUGACGCAUUGAGAGGACCAGGCGUGACGAAAAUGUGAAAAAAAGGAAAAUCUGGCGUUGUCAAUGAAGUGACUGACCCUUAGCGACAGGUGUGCUGGUGAUGUCAUGGUCAACAAACUGGCCGAAGGUGAGGUGGAGAAAAGAGAAGCAAGUGGCGGCGCUUUUCCGAUUCCUGUUGAUGGUGGCACUAACCAGACGAGCGCUGGGCAGUGGCUUUCCGUCCUGUGCCCUACGAAGGCUCAUCACUCCUGCAAUACACGCACACACACACACACAAUUCAAUUCAAUUCAAUUUUAUUGACCACGACAACAAAUUUUAAUACAGCUAAAGGAAUGGUCUAGAAAAAUAGACAAAGUGUUAACGAUCUCGUUACACAAACAAAAUCACCAUACAUUACCUUUUCAAGCAUGACAAGACAAUAUUAUUAUCACAGUAACUCACAAAAUAAAACAAACAAACAAGCAAACUAAAGAAAAUAAGAAAGUUCUCUUAAAGCUACCACUCAGAGAAUACACAAAGCUUAAUCUUAGGAAAUAUAUUCAAAAGACAAACAAAAAACAAAAAAACCGUUAAACUAACCACAUAAAACUAAAAUUUUGUAAACAAUAAAAUUAAUAAAACCCAGUAAACUUACAUUAAUUCCUAAAACUUUGAAA